GUUACAGGGUAGUUGACCUCCUACUUUAAAGGAUAGGGGGUGGUGCUAUGACUACAUACCAGGUAUUGACACUUAUGUUAUUAUUUGGCGGGUUUUUAUUGACACUCCUUGGCUAUAUAGACAAGCGAAAAUAAAAAACUACCCUGUUCUCGCAAAACAGGGUAGUUUUUCUUAUCAAAUUAAC
rnacentral:sRNA from 1 species